GCCUGCUUGGUCUAGUUGGUUAUGACGCUAGUCUCAUAAUCUGGAGGUCGAGAGUUCGAUCCUCUCAGCGGGCA
rnacentral:tRNA from 1 species